CAAAGAGUAUGAUGAAGAGAAUGAACAAAUUAUUACGCCAGUGUCGUGCUGAAAAUCACAAAAUUGGAGAGGCAACUGAGCAAGGAAGAAUUGAAUCUAAUCGUGAAUGUUUACAACCAUUUGGUCAAGCAUCAUAUCAAAGAAGUAGACAAGGAUUGGUUGUCACAUACGAGGAUUCUGGCGAUAACAUCUAUACCUGCGAUUAUUGUAAUGCACGUUUUUGGUCUGGAGAAGCUAUUAAAAAAUCAUCUGCAAAUGCACCUCUUAUUUAUACAAACUGUUGUAAAAAAGGUCAAAUCAAAAUCGAACAAGCAAAACCAACACCCAUUUUUCUUGAAAUGUUAUUAAAUCCUGAUAAUGGCCCAGAGAGCAAAUUAUUUAGAGAAAAUAUCAGAGUUUAUAAUUCAAUG